GCAGGUAAAGAAACUGAGCCUCAGGGAGAUCAAGAAGUUUUAAUCAUUUGAGAGAUGAUUUUGGCCCUAGACUGCAGCUGGAGGCAGCCAGCCCUCUGCUCAGCCCUGCCGUGCAGAGUGACACAGGCAGGCGACAUCAUCUGAGUACUAACUUCUCCUACAUCCAGACAGACUGCAAGAACCAUUUCUGAAUCGUGGCACGACAUAAGAGAAGCAAAGGGGUAGCUGCAAAGUUCUGGAUAAGACCUCUGCAGGCAACUGGAAGCACAGUGUACCCAGGUGGUGGGUCUCGUCUGUGGCAAUAUAUUUUUCUGUCUGUCCAAUUGAAUAUGGCUGUAAAGGGAAUAAAACCCCAUGUAAUCUCCAGCAGUGACAAUUUAAUCAGUUGUGUAAGGGGAAGAAGCAGAGUCCCCUCAUUUUCAUAUUUGCAUAUUUGAUUUUUGCAUUGGGGAAUAGAGGUUAUGUUUUUCUAUUACUUCCCAUUCAAUUUUAAUGCUUAAACCUUUUAGGAGCAAUUUUUUUUCCAGUGGUAGGAUAUAUUGAGUCAAACUGGUCAAAAAAUAAGAUUUAAUUUCUGAAAUAAAGCACUUGAUGCAUCA
ensembl:lncRNA